rnacentral:rRNA from 1 species
CAGCAGCCGCGGUAAUACAGAGGGUGCAUGCGUUAUCGGAUUUACUGGCGUAAAGGCGCGUAGGUGGGUAUGUAAGUGAGAUGUGAAAGCCCGGGCUUUACCUGGGAACUGCGUCUUAUACUCAUAGCUUGAGUACAUGAGAGGGUAGUGGAAUUUCCGGUGUAGCAGUGAAAAUGCGUAGAUAUGCGGAGGAACACCGAUGGCGAAAGGCAAUUCCCCUGGGCCCUGCACUGACGCUCAUGCACGAAAGCGUGGGGAGCAAACAGGAUUAGAUACCCUGGUAGUCACGCCCUAAACGAUGUCAACUGGUUGUUGGGAAUUCACUUUCUCAGUAACGAAGCUAACGCGUGAAGUUGACCGCCUGGGGAGUACGGCCGCAAGGUUAAACUCAAAGGAAUU